rnacentral:rRNA from 1 species
UACGUAGGGGGCAAGCGUUAUCCGGAUUUAUUGGGUUUAAAGGGUGCGUAGGCGGCAGAUUAAGUUAGAGGUGAAAUUCCGAGGCUCAACCUUGGCACUGCCUCUGAUACUGGUUUGCUAGCGAGUAGAUGCUGUAGGCGGAAUGUGUGGUGUAGCGGUGAAAUGCAUAGAUAUCACGCAGAACUCCGAUUGCGAAGGCAGCAUACCGGCGCUCAACUGACGCUCAUGCACGAAAGCGUGGGUAUCGAACAGG